AGAGUUUGAUCAUGGCUCAGAACGAACGCUGGCGGCGUGGAUAAGACAUGCAAGUCGAACGUUGCUUUAUUGAGUAGCAAUACUUAAUAAGAUACGUGGCGAAAGGGUGCGUAACAUGUGGGUAAUCUGCCGUAAAGUUCGGAAUAAUUUGUUGAAAAAUGAACUAAUACCGGAUGCGAUAAACGAGAAAUUAAGUCAUGUUUAUUAAAGUUGGAACCGAAAGGUCUGACGCUUUAUGAUGAGCCCGCAACCUAUCAGCUAGUUGGUGAGGUAAUAGCUCACCAAGGCUAAAACGGGUAGCUGGUCUGAGAGGACGACCAGCCACACUGGAACUGAGACACGGUCCAGACACCUACGGGUGGCAGCAGUCGAGAAUUUUUCUCAAUGGGCGAAAGCCUGAAGGAGCGACGCCGCGUGAGGGAUGAAGGGCUUUGGCCUGUAAACCUCUGUCAUUUGUGAACAAACCUUGCGGCUCAACACGUCGCAAAUUGAUAGUAACAAAAGAGGAAGAGACGGCUAACUCUGUGCCAGCAGCCGCGGUAAUACAGAGGUCUCAAGCGUUGUUCGGAUUUACUGGGCGUAAAGGGUGCGUAGGUUGCUUGAUAAGUCUGAUGUGAAAUCUUCGAGCUCAACUCGAAAACUGCACUGGAAACUGUCGAGCUUGAGGAUUGGAGAGGGGAUUGGAAUUCUCGGUGUAGCAGUGAAAUGCGUAGAUAUCGAGAGGAACACCAGUGGCGAAGGCGAAUCUCUAGACAAUUCCUGACACUGAGGCACGAAAGCUAGGGGAUCAAACAGGAUUAGAUACCCUAGUAGUCC
rnacentral:rRNA from 1 species